rnacentral:rRNA from 1 species
UACGUAGGGGGCUAGCGUUGUCCGGAUUUAUUGGGCGUAAAGAGCGUGUAGGCGGCCAUGUAGGUCCGGUGUGAAAACUCGAGGCUUAACCUCGAGAUGUCAUCGGAAACCAUUUGGCUAGAGUCCGGAAGGGGAGAGUGGAAUUCCUGGUGUAGCGGUGAAAUGCGCAGAUAUCAGGAAGAACACCAAUGGCGAAAGCAGCUCUCUGGGACGGUACUGACGCUGAGACGCGAAAGCGUGGGGAGCGAACAGG